CAAUAGCGUAUAUUAAAGUUGUUGCAGUUAGAACGCUCGUAGUCGGAUUUCGGGGCGGGCCGACCGGUCUGCCGAUGGGUACGCACUGGUCGGCGCGUCCUUCCUUCCGGAGACCGUGCCUACUCUUAACUGAGCGGGGGCGGGAGACGGAUCGUUUACUUUGAAAAAAUCAGAGUGUUUCAAGCAGGCAGCUCGCUCUUGCAUGGAUUAGCAUGGGAUAAUGAAAUAGGACUUUGGUGCUAUUUUGUUGGUUUCGAACACCGAAGUAAUGAUUAAAAGGGACAGUCAGGGGCACUCGUAUUCCGCCGAGAGAGGUGAAAUUCUCAGACCAGCGGAAGACGAACCACUGCGAAAGCAUUUGCCGGGGAUGUUUUCACUGA
rnacentral:rRNA from 1 species